AAUUUCAUGCUAAUAUCAUCUCCAUCACCAUAUAUACCCACAUAUAUAUAUAUGGGCUUCGUUUGGUUCGGAUAUAAAUAAGAACUACUUAUUUCGGGUAUAUGUACAAGUUUAGGUAUAAGUAAGAACUAGACCGAUUUUGCGUUUGGAUGAAAAUUGAGUUGUCACUAGGAAUAAGAAAAAUAACAUUUGGAUGAAAAUUGGGUUGUUCUCCGGAAUAUAUAAGAAAAAUAGUGUUUAGAUUGAUAAGAUAGAAUAAAAAAAAUAAUGAGUUUUUAUAAAUAAAAAAUGAUGAAAUUACUCCUCUUAUUAAAUUUGAAUUUAAAAUUUUAAAUUUCAUAUUUCAAUUUUAAAAUUUUAAAAUUUUAUUUUUAAAUUUCAAAAUACAUAUUUAAAAUUUAAAAUUUAAAAUUUAAAAUUUAAAAUUUAAGAUUAAAUUUCAACUUAGAAAUGAUAAAAUAUCAAAUUUUAAAUUUAAAAAAUAUAAAAUAUAAAAUUUUAAAUUUGAAAAUUUUAGAGUCUAAAAUUUGAAAAUUGAAAUUUAAAAAAUUAUAAACUUUAUAAUAAGUUUA
rnacentral:lncRNA from 1 species